rnacentral:lncRNA from 1 species
AUGGUCAAUUAUUUAUGGUUUGUUUUUGGUUUGCAAAAUAAUCAAAAUGUUAGUUUGACAGACGACAACAACAACAACUCGUUAUAGUUUGUUUCAAGACAUCUAGAAAAUAUAAUCAUUUCGAUUUUGUUCGAUGAUACAAACUGGAGCAUAUUAUGAUCUGUUUGUUGGAUGAUUUUAACAUAAUGUUUUAACUGAAAAUUGUUUUAUGAAGCUGUGUGUUCACUGUUGGCACAUUGAAUGAUUGACAGCAUUGGAUAAAUAAUGCUCUAUUGGAUAAAUACGUAAAGUACAUUGGACAGCUGAGAUUGUGGUGUGGACAGCUGAGAUUGGUGUGGACAGCUGAGAUUGUGGUGUUGACAUUUGAAAUUGGGAUUUGGACAGCUGAGAUUGUGACUUGGACAGCUAAAAUUGUGGUGUGGACUAUUGAUAUUGUGGUGUUGACAACAUAUUGUGGUGUGCACCUGUGAUAUUGUGGUGUGAUAGUUUAAAGUAGCAAAGGUAAAGAACGUUUGACAGCUUAGAUUGUGGAGUGGACAGCUGAUAUUGUGGUGUGGACAGCUGAGAUUGUCAUGUCGACUACUUAUAGUGUGGCUUGCAGAGCUGAUAUUGUGGUGUGAUGCUUUAAAGUACUAAAGAUUAAAUAUGAAGAUCAUAGUGUGUUUGAUGUAAGCAUAGACGAGGUGUGUGAGGACCUGAGAAAUGGCACGCUUCAGUUCAUAUAGAUUUAUUCCUUACUACCUUCCUGUCAACUAUAUCUUCCACAGCAUGAUUCAAUCUAGUCCCAAUCAUUGCCUCUGGUCACCAGAUGGUCCGUCCACAGAGUCACAAGCAACAGAUACUAAAACUCGGCAAAGUACAUGUACUUCAGACUUCCAGAGGAUAUUGUUAACAAUGAUGAUUUGAUGUUAAAAAGAAAAUGUAUUUGAAUAGCUAUAUUUCUCUUGUGUCACUUGGGUGUCAAAGGUCAUUUCAGAGAUUGUCCGGGCUGUAACUUUGCAACGCAUAAACGGGCUUAAAUGUUUGCUCAGCUAGACAGUGUUGUGUUGAACUCCCAGUCCUUUUGACCGCUGGUGGGCUCGACAUGUUUCCUGUGGGCAUUUAGUUUAUAUUGCAUAUACUUCAAGUAGAUACACAUUUUAGAAUACCGGUAGAUAACCAAAUAAGAAAGAAAACAUUUUUUUAUUUUACAUAAUAGCAAAAUUUGGAAAAUUUUAACUUCAACUUUCACUGUUAUAUUGUUAUAUAAUCACUUAUGAUGAGUAUGAAUGCAAUAUAGACACUGUAGAAAAUUAAUCCCGCAUUUUUAAAGAUACAAUAUCUUGUUAUCUAUUAUUGUCAAUCAUUGGUAUGUAAGAUUUUUGCCAUAGGUUUGAAUAGCUGACAAGCAUGGUAGAAAUUAUUAUUUACCAUUAACGGGCUAAAUUUCUAUAAUUAACAUGUCCAUCUUUCAAUAUGGACACUAUAAUUAAAUGAAAGGGAUGGCUACCAAAACAUACUGACUGAAUGCAAACAGUGAAGAUCUUGAUCAGGCUAUACGGAUGUGCAGGCUGAUCAUGAUCUACACUGUUCACAAAGGCAGAAUCAAUCGUGUCCAGCAUGAUAAGGGUUAAAUCCAUUGUUUUUACUGCCUCCUUUUUUGGCUCAUUAUUGUACAAGUACAUAUACAGCAUUGCUUUUCUAACCAUGUAAUAAUGCAUAUGAUUGGUUUUCAAAAUAACGAAGCUUUUUCUCCUCUCUCACCAUACUUUAAAUAAGUUCAGUUUUAGAAAGUGUUUUGGGGCAAACUAUAUUCAAAUCAAUGUAGUCAAUGAAUGUGUGCAGUUUCAGGUGAAUGGCUCAAGCAGUUUUAUAUCAAAUUAUAUAGUUAAUUUUGUCCCCUGUGAAUCCUAGAAAGUGUGACAUUUUAUAUGAAGGGUAGUUUUCAACUGUGAUUUAUUUUUUCAAACCAAGCAUUAUUGUAACAGCUUUAAUUUUUUAUGUAACUCAAACACUGCACAUUUAAAGGAAAAUACUUUUUUUCAUAAACUACAUUUUAUUCUUACCAAUGUGUCAAAUCUUGUGAUGUAACCCCAUUCACAAAUAAAUAUGAAAAAAAUACUAAAUUUAAAUGUUGAUCACUUCAAUUU